GCAAUGCAGUUCGUGACGGCUACAACAAAAUGUGCAUAUAAUUUUAUAAAAAUUACACCUCGAUUUCGUGUACUUAUUUAAUAUACAAUUAAAAAUAACAUAACAUUUUAUUAUUUAAAAUAUAAGCGCAUUUGAUUCGUAAAAUUCACCACCACCGCCAACACCUCCACUACGUGCGAAUUAUGGUGUUCGUUAUCGGCAAAUUUUUUUAUGGCUAUUAAGACUUCAUACAUACAUACAUAGUUAUUAUAUAACUUCGCGUAGUGGUGGAAAGAAAUGAAGCGCAAACGGCACGAAAUUGACAUGAGUGGUGAUGGUGGUGGUGGUGGUGUGGUGGGGGUUAACAUCGGUCGCAGAUGGAACAGCGGAGACGCUGGCACGUCGUGGUCUCCUUGGAAACGUUAACCGAAGCCAUUUUCAAGCCAAUAACUAUACAUGUAAAUUUUCUCUCGUUCUCUCUCCUUCAAUUUAUGAAUGCUUCAAUAAGCUAAAAGCGUUUUGUAGCUUUUGCUAUUUCUACUGCUGUAUCACGCCAAGGUAAAGAUAUUUUUUUUCGACAAAACCCAACAACUUUACCAACACGCACAUUCCGGUGAUGGAGCACUGCUUUUAAUUGAAUUAAACAAUAUAAGAAUUUCGUGACAUACAACCCGAUAGCUGUCUUACAAUAAUACCUAUUUACAUUUACCUAUAUAAUAUGUUAUGACUUAUAAUAUUAUAUUAUAUUAUGCAUAAUUUCCAGUUACAGCAGUUACAUGGUUGUGGUUUAUUCAUUUCCGUUGGAGGUAUAUAACAUAAGAGUAUUAUACUGUUUCAUAGUUUAUAAUUUAUGUCUUAUAAGUAUAAGGUUAGUUACAUACCUAACCUAACCUAGUUAUGUGUAUAUUAAAUAACAAAAAUAAUAUCGUUGAAAUAUCCUUUUUUAUAUUCUUUUAAAAGACUUUCUUUAUAUUAGUUCAUAUAACAACAUAAAAAAAGAAACAUUUUUGGUGAGUAUAAGAUUUUUGUCACUUUUAUAGUGCUAUUAUUUUAAUUUAAAAUUUUCUGAUACCUACUUUUUAACUUUAUUAUUUC